rnacentral:rRNA from 1 species
GGGCCCGCACAAGCGGUGGAGCAUGUGGUUUAAUUCGAUGAUACGCGAGGAACCUUACCAGGACUUAAAUGUAAGUUGCAUGAUUCAGAAAUGAAUCUUUCUUCGGACUACUUACAAGGUGCUGCAUGGUUGUCGUCAGCUCGUGCCGUGAGGUGUCAGGUUAAGUCCUAUAACGAGCGCAACCCCUAUCGUUAGUUGCCAUCAAGUAAAGUUGGGAACUCUAGCGAAACUGCCGGUGUAAACCGAGAGGAAGGUGGGGAUGACGUCAAAUCAUCACGGCCCUUACGUUCUGGGCUACACACGUGCUACAAUGGUCGGUACAGAAAGCAGCCACUAUGCGAAUAGGAGCUAAUCUUUAAAACCGAUCUCAGUUCGGAUCGCAGUCUGCAACUCGACUGCGUGAAGCUGGAAUCGCUAGUAAUCGGAUAUC